rnacentral:rRNA from 1 species
AACGAACGCUGGCGGCAGGCUUAACACAUGCAAGUCGAACGGGCACUUCGGUGUCAGUGGCAGACGGGUGAGUAACACGUGGGAACGUACCCUUUGGUUCGGAAUAACCCUGGGAAACUAGGGCUAAUACCGGAUACGGCCGUGAGGCGAAAGGUUGACUGCCGGAGGAUCGGCCCGCGUCCGAUUAGCUAGUUGGUGUGGUAAUGGCGCACCAAGGCGACGAUCGGUAGCUGGUCUGAGAGGAUGACCAGCCACAUUGGGACUGAGACACGGCCCAAACUCCUACGGGAGGCAGCAGUGGGGAAUAUUGGACAAUGGGCGCAAGCCUGAUCCAGCCAUGCCGCGUGAGUGAUGACGGCCUUAGGGUUGUAAAGCUCUUUUACCUGGGAAGAUAAUGACGGUACCAGGAGAAUAAGCCCCGGCUAACUUCGUGCCAGCCGCCGCCGUAACAC